rnacentral:lncRNA from 1 species
UUGUAUCGUUAUAGUGUUGUAUCGUUAGUGUUGUAUCGUCAGCGUUGUAUCCUUAGUGUUGUAUUGACCGAGUUUUGUUAAUGAAUUAUCAUUCCCAGGGUAUGUUUCUGGCUAGCCAGCCAGCAUCACAGGGCGAGGCCAGUUCCACAGGUCACGUGGUGUCAUCCCCGACGACCGUCGCCCAGCAGGCCCAUCCUGGUCACGGCGGGUCAGAUGGCUGCCAUCUUGGCUCAGUACACCUCCACUAAUAGGUUCCAGGAAGCGGAGGGGUCCUGUCAGGCCAAAUCUGUAUCCUACUCUGUUCUGGAAGCAGCCAACCAGGUGGCAGUCAUCAAGGCUGCAAAGAACGCCAAUGUUACUGUGACAAAGAACGCCACGGCAACCACCAUUACCACAGCAAAGAGCGCCACCAGUUUGGUGCGGGGUCUAUGGUAGGGGCGUGCCCGAGAGCACCAGCACGACAUUGAUCAGCGAGAUGGCGGCAGGGAGAGGGAAGACUGCUGCUACUCUAUCAGGUAUGCUGAAGAUCCACUCUGGCGGUUCCCACUCCCAGCACUGACCAUUCCUGACAACCAGCUGAAACAGAUUGGGGUGGGCACGGCCACAGACCAUAGUGAUGCCCGUCAACAAAGCCGAGGACUCCCAUCCGUUCUGUGCAGUGUCUACUGAGCAUUACUACUCCUGGAACAUUGGGAAACGCAGGGCGGCUGAGGCCCUUAACCCCUCCUGCCAUAGAGGUGGUCCAGUGGUGCCGACAGAGGGUCUACACAACCCAAACCCCCUACGCAGCAGCAGGCCUGGUGAAGGGACCGUAGAGGGCAUCCUUACACAGAUUGGCGUGUCCUUCCAGCAGGUGGAGGUGGAGAAGACUGUGAUUUUCUCCAGGGAUCAAGGCCAUUGGCAUCCUGAGAGAAGCACUAGCUGGGGUCCACGUCAAAUCCCUCCAGAACAGGGAGAUCACAGCCAUUACCGUUCACCAGGCUGCCAGCAGCGUCCCCACAUCUGACUUCCUCACCAACACACACACGCUCAGACUGAGACACACACACUCUGGCUUCUCCCAUCAGUGUCACUAGCUGAGAGACGGACAGUAACGAGCGUAUGGCCAUGUCUCUCUGGGGUCAAAGUGAACGGUUGGCCGGACAGAAGAACACUAUGGCCGCAACAGUCGGACCACAGCAGGAAGGCUUCGACCCCACCAGGAGGACCAUCUGUCUGCAACAGAACAGUUUCACUGUUUCUUGUCCUCUCUCUCUAUUUAUCACUAUUUCCUGUUCUCUCUCUUCAAUCUAUAUUUAUCACUGUUUCCUGUUCUCUCUCUAUUCUAUUUAUCUUCCACUUCUCUCCAGCUCUGUCUCAUCCAUUUUCUAGAGAAAUCAGUCUUUACAGAGAGGAUAUAUAAUCUCAUCCUUUAGCUAUUAAUGGCUCCUGGACAUACAGAACCAACUGGGUUCAACCAGUUUACCUGACAGUUCAAACCACUAGUCUGCUACUUUUCAUAUCUCAGUAUCAUGAAGUAGAAUCAAGUAGAACAGACAACACUAAUAUCUGGGUGGAAUUCAGGAUUGCACAACUUUCUGAACGUUGAGAGAUGACAUGAUUCCUUAACCUUAUCAGAGUCCAAACUGUAUACUCUUCCACACAGCAGUGUUGUAGAAUAUUGGACCUUUGGCUUUCAUACUUCUUGAAUUUUCAGCGCAGCUCAAUCAAUUUCUCCAACCGUCACCACAUUCAAAUGAAUAGAGGACGCGUACGCGGGUCCGCGUUGGUUGGGGAUUUUAGGGAGGUGUGUGUUGGAGCUGUGGGUCCCCCACCGACGGUAGUCACAGAGCCGGAUAGAUGUCACAAUAACGCCACCAGACUCUGUGUCUGUGGAACUCUGAAUUACUCUUUACUCUGUAUGAUGACAGGGCAGUUUGUCUGUUCUACACAAUAUAUUUCUAUCUGUACAUUCCAUAACAUUGUUCCCUACUGAAGACCACGCUGAGGAUGACUCAUAACAUACCUGGCAUAGCCGUUUCUUUAAUAUUCUGUUUCAGUUUAUAUAACUGGUUAACCUGAUAGUGUAAUGUACUGUAACCACUGACUUAAUCACAGCUGGGCUCAGUCUGGUCCCUCUGAACCACCACACAACGUGAGAUCAACAUUGUAUUGAACAUUGUAGUUCUCAUAGAUUGUGUGUGUUCAAGUAUUGUCUGACAGUCACGGGGGAGAUUAAGUGUUUUACUCUUAAGGUGAAAGUAUGAAAAUCUCUUUGAAUGUGAUCCAUAUUGGAUGUUGUGUACAUGGUUGUUGGUGGAGAUUUAGCUUGUGUUGGAGUGAAUAUGAUAUGAGGCGGCAGGUAGCCUACUGGUUAGAGUGUUGGGGCGGUAACCGAAAGGUUGCUGGAUCGAAUCCCCGAGUUGACAAGGUAAAAAUCUGUCGUCCUGCCCCUGAACAAGGCAGUUAACCCACUGUUCCUAGGCCGUCAUUGUAAAUAAGAAUGUGUUUUUAACUGACUUUCCCAG